AUUGAACGCUAGCGGGAUGCCUUACACAUGCAAGUCGAACGGAGUGGCGAACGGGUGAGUAAUGUAUCGGUACGUGCCCAGUAGCGGGGGAUAACUACGCGAACGAGUAGCUAAUACCGCACACUAUUCGAGCGGCCGAUAUCGGAUUGGCUAGUUGGUGGGGUAACGGCUCACCAAGGCGACGAUCCAUAGCCGGUUUGAGAGGACGACCAGCCACACUGGGACUGAGACACGGCCCAGACUCCUACGGGAGGCAGCAGUGGGGAAUAUUGGACAAUGGGGGAAACCCUGAUGCAGCCAUGCCGCGUGUGCGAUGAAGGCCUUCGGGUUGUAAAGCACUUUUGGCAGGAAGGCGGUACCCGCAGAAUAAGCACCGGCUAACUACGUGCCAGCAGCCGCGGUAAUUC
rnacentral:rRNA from 1 species